AUAUUUGUGGUUCAUUGGUAGAAUUCUCAUCUUCCAUGUGGGAGGCACGGGUUCAAUUCCUGACCAAUGCA
rnacentral:tRNA from 1 species